rnacentral:rRNA from 1 species
UACGAAGGGGGCUAGCGUUGCUCGGAAUGACUGGGCGUAAAGGGCGCGUAGGCGGCGGUCACAGUCAGAUGUGAAAUUCCUGGGCUUAACCUGGGGGCUGCAUUUGAUACGUGGUUGCUUGAGUGGGGAAGAGGGUCGUGGAAUUCCCAGUGUAGAGGUGAAAUUCGUAGAUAUUGGGAAGAACACCGGUGGCGAAGGCGGCGACCUGGUCCUUGACUGACGCUGAGACGCGAAAGCGUGGGGAGCGAACAGG